rnacentral:rRNA from 1 species
CCUACGGGUGGCUGCAGUGGGGAAUAUUGCACAAUGGGGGAAACCCUGAUGCAGCGACGCCGCGUGAGUGAUGAAGGAUUUCGGUAUGUAAAGCUCUGUCAGCAGGGAAGAAAAUGACGGUACCUGAGUAAGAAGCCCCGGCUAACUACGUGCCAGCAGCCGCGGUAAUACGUAGGGGGCAAGCGUUAUCCGGAUUUACUGGGUGUAAAGGGAGCGUAGACGGUGAUGCAAGUCAGAAGUGAAAGGCCAGGGCUCAACCCUGGGACUGCUCUUGAAACUGUACGGCUAGAGUGCAGGAGAGGUAAGCGGAAUUCCUAGUGUAGCGGUGAAAUGCGUAGAUAUUAGGAGGAACACCAGUGGCGAAGGCGGCUUACUGGACUGUAACUGACGUUGAGGCUCGAAAGCGUGGGGAGCAAACAGGAUUAGAUACCCUAGUAGUC